rnacentral:rRNA from 1 species
CACGUAGGGGCCAAGCGUUGUCCGGAUUUAUUGGGCGUAAAGAGCGUGUAGGCGGUUUGGUAGGUCCGCUGUGAAAACUCGAGGCUCAACCUCGAGACGCCGGUGGAAACCAUCAGACUAGAGUCCGGAAGAGGAGAGUGGAAUUCCUGGUGUAGCGGUGAAAUGCGCAGAUAUCAGGAGGAACACCGGUGGCGAAGGCGGGUCUCUGGGCCGAUACUGACACUGAGGAGCGAAAGCGUGGGGAGCGAACAGG